rnacentral:rRNA from 1 species
UGAGGAAUAUUGGUCAAUGGACGGAAGUCUGAACCAGCCAUGCCGCGUGAAGGAAUAAGGCCCUAUGGGUCGUAAACUUCUUUUGUGGUGGAGCAAUAAGACCUACGCGUAGGUCGAUGAGAGUACAUCACGAAUAAGCAUCGGCUAACUCCGUGCCAGCAGCCGCGGUAAUACGGAGGAUGCAAGCGUUAUCCGGAAUUAUUGGGUUUAAAGGGUGCGUAGGCUGUUUUGCAAGUCAGGGGUGAAAGCCCGGAGCUCAACUCCGGAACUGCCUUUGAUACUGCGAGGCUGGAAUACGGAUGCCGUGGGAGGAAUGAGUAGUGUAGCGGUGAAAUGCAUAGAUAUUACUCAGAACACCGAUUGCGAAGGCAUCUCACGAAUCCGUCAUUGACGCUGAGGCACGAAAGCGUGGGGAUCAAACAGG